rnacentral:SRP_RNA from 1 species
GCCAGGUGUGGUGGUGUGCACCUGUAGUCCCAGCUACUUGGGAGGCUGAGGCAGGAGGAUCACUUGAGCCCAGGAAGUUGAGGCUGCCGUGAGCUGUGAUCAUACCACCACACUCAACCUGAGCAACAGAGUGAGACCCUGUCUCAA